AACACGUGGAUAAUCUACCCGACAAUCAGGGAUAACAUUUCGAAAGGAAUGCUAAUACCUAAUAAGCCCACGACGUCUUCGGACGACGAGGGAAAAGGUGGGGACCUUCGGGCCUGCCGUUGUCGGAUGAGUCCGCGUCCCAUUAGCUAGUUGGCAGGGUAAUGGCCUACCAAGGCUACGAUGGGUAGCUGGUCUGAGAGGAUGAUCAGCCACACUGGAACUGAGACACGGACCAG
rnacentral:rRNA from 1 species